CUGUCUACCUGCUUACCUGCCUACCUGUCGAUCUGUCUACCUGCUUACCUGUCUAGAUAGAUAGAUAGAUAGAUAGAUAGAUAGAUACUUUAUUGAUCCCCAAGGGGAAAUUCAAGGUUGUAAUUGUACAGUCAUUAUUAUGUUAUUUAUUUAUUUAUAUAAGAAUCAUCCUUUGUACGAAAUACAUCAUGUCAAUAAAGAUUUUCAAUCAAUCAAUCAAUCAAGGUCUACCUGCCUACCUGUCGAUCUGUCUACCUGCCUACCUGCUUGUAUUUCUGUCUCCUCAAAAUCUGUCACCAUUUCUGCCUUAAUGUCCAUAUUCUCUCUCUCUCUCUUCGUUUGUCCUGUGCUUCUGUCUGUGUGUGUGUGUGUGUGUCUGUGUCUGUCUGUGUCGGUCACUGAACACACCAAAUGAAGGAAGUGUGUGUGUGUGUCUGAACGCCCAGUCAGACUUAGAACUCUGGGGAUGACUAAUAACUUAUAAAUACAUUCAAUGAAAUAUACAUUAGUAAGGAAUGUUAAUGAUUGAUGUUUGUGAUAGCUAUAUUUAAGAUAAAGUGGAAAUAUAUUCUUGCUGUAUAUAAUAGUUUUAUUUUACAUUAAGUGAGAUUGUGAGGCAAUUCAAAUUUCUUGAAAUGUUUGAGAGAUGUGUGUUUUUGUGCUGUUCGUUCAUUUCCAAACAUAUAAUAAAUGGAGAUGGCAAUGUA